rnacentral:rRNA from 1 species
GUAGGAUCCGAGCGUUACCCGGAUUUAUUGGGUUUAAAGGGAGCGUAGGUGGGACGUUAAGUCAGUUGUGAAAUACGGCGGCUCAACCGUCGGGGUGCAGUUGAUACUGGACGUCUUGAGUGCACACAAGGAUGCCGGAAUUCAUGGUGUAGCGGUGAAAUGCUCAGAUAUCAUGAAGAACUCCGAUCGCGAAGGCAGGUGUCCGGGGUGCAACUGACGCUGAGGCUCGAAAGUGCGGGUAUC